rnacentral:lncRNA from 13 species
CCAUAACUUUCAUUUCAAAUUUCCACUCGCGCAGCCCCCGAGAACCAAUAACUGAGCAUGCGUAAAACACUUCGCUUGAUAACGUCCAUAAGCAAAGUCGACAUUAGAAUGGAGUUCAAACUACCGCUGAGAAAAUUAUAUAAUGCGUACUAGUGUGCCCAAAGUCAAUUUCCAGUGCGUUGUCACCGUUAUUUCUUGACGCGCAUCAGUUCUAGCAUGUUGGGAAACGGAUUAGAAAACAGCAGGUGUCACAAUAACGUCAAGUUAAAUAGCCAACCGACAAAAUCGUGAAAAGUUGUCAUAAUGUGCGCGCGUGCUGCUCCAUCUUGUACUUUCCUUCCCCACCACUCACUCACCAAACAGCCUGGUCACUGCACGAUAGUCACCAGCAGCAGGUCACAGUGAUAUAUAUUUUUAAAAGAGAAAUGCCAUGGCGGCCGCGGUGCAGCAAGUAGCCCAACAACCCACCCACAGCAUCGUGUUCAAAGUAGCCCAAUACCCGGCGUUUCGAAAGCCCGGCCCCACCAGGAUCCCUAAACCCAAAGGCUACGGCACCCAGAGGGACAAACAGCACUAUUAACACUGGACAGAGCAAAGGACAGCUGCCGGCCACCGUGCACUCUGGGAGAAACACUGUGAAUGGUCAGACUGCGUCCAACAGGAGAGAUGGUCCAACCACAUUCGUUCAGAACAUUGCAGAAAUGUAAUAACUAGAGCUGUGACACAAUUCCAUAUUUUACUGACUGAGUAAAUAACAAAUUGCAGAUGCUAUAAUAUUGAGACCAACUGCUUGCACUAGUGCUGUGUAAAUCAAUAAAGAAUUGAUUUGUCUGCCAUUUUGUGCAAUCGUUUGUCUAUCUCUCAAUUUUUUGGUCUAUUGAAAUGUUCCUAUCCUCCUUAAAAGUUGUCUAGUAGGACUGGGAAUUGCCAGGGACCUUACGAUAUGAUAUUAUCAUGAUACUUAAGUGACGAUACAAUAUGCAUUGCGAUUCGAUACUGGGAUUUUAUUGUGAUUCAAUGUUCCAAACAUAUUGCUCACCACAUGUCUUCCGCAGAGGGAAAAGAAAGAGCCAAGAGAAUUCGUCCCUCCGUGAAAUUAUUGUGAUAUUGUCAAAACGAUAUG